GACGUGCUUGCACUGAAUGAGAUUUUAACACGAAGUGAGUGGCGGACGGGUGAGUAACACGUGGGUAACCUGCCCAGAAGCAGGGGAUAACACCUGGAAACAGAUGCUAAUACCGUAUAACAGAGAAAACCGCCUGGUUUUCUUUUAAAAGAUGGCUCUGCUAUCACUUCUGGAUGGACCCGCGGCGCAUUAGCUAGUUGGUGAGGUAACGGCUCACCAAGGCGAUGAUGCGUAGCCGACCUGAGAGGGUAAUCGGCCACAUUGGGACUGAGACACGGCCCAGACUCCUACGGGAGGCAGCAGUAGGGAAUCUUCCACAAUGGACGCAAGUCUGAUGGAGCAACGCCGCGUGAGUGAAGAAGGGUUUCGGCUCGUAAAGCUCUGUUGUUAAAGAAGAACGUGGGUGAGAGUAACUGUUCACCCAGUGACGGUAUUUAACCAGAAAGCCACGGCUAACUACGUGCCAGCAGCCGCGGUAAUACGUAGGUGGCAAGCGUUAUCCGGAUUUAUUGGGCGUAAAGCGAGCGCAGGCGGUCUUUUAAGUCUAAUGUGAAAGCCUUCGGCUCAACCGAAGAAGUGCAUUGGAAACUGGGAGACUUGAGUGCAGAAGAGGACAGUGGAACUCCAUGUGUAGCGGUGAAAUGCGUAGAUAUAUGGAAGAACACCAGUGGCGAAGGCGGCUGUCUGGUCUGUAACUGACGCUGAGGCUCGAAAGCAUGGGUAGCGAACAGGAUUAGAUACCCUGGUAGUCCAUGCCGUAAACGAUGAUUACUAAGUGUUGGAGGGUUUCCGCCCUUCAGUGCUGCAGCUAACGCAUUAAGUAAUCCGCCUGGGGAGUACGACCGCAAGGUUGAAACUCAAAAGAAUUGACGGGGGCCCGCACAAGCGGUGGAGCAUGUGGUUUAAUUCGAAGCUACGCGAAGAACCUUACCAGGUCUUGACAUCUUCUGCCAACCUAAGAGAUUAGGCGUUCCCUUCGGGGACAGAAUGACAGGUGGUGCAUGGUUGUCGUCAGCUCGUGUCGUGAGAUGUUGGGUUAAGUCCCGCAACGAGCGCAACCCUUAUUACUAGUUGCCAGCAUUCAGUUGGGCACUCUAGUGAGACUGCCGGUGACAAACCGGAGGAAGGUGGGGACGACGUCAAAUCAUCAUGCCCCUUAUGACCUGGGCUACACACGUGCUACAAUGGAUGGUACAACGAGUCGCAAAACCGCGAGGUUUAGCUAAUCUCUUAAAACCAUUCUCAGUUCGGACUGUAGGCUGCAACUCGCCUACACGAAGUCGGAAUCGCUAGUAAUCGCGGAUCAGCAUGCCGCGGUGAAUACGUUCCCGGGCCUUGUACACACCGCCCGUCACACCAUGAGAGUUUGUAACACCCAAAGCCGGUGGGGUA
rnacentral:rRNA from 1 species